UACGGGGGGGGCAAGCGUUGUUCGGAAUUACUGGGCGUAAAGGGCGCGUAGGCGGCCUACUAAGUCGGACGUGAAAUCCCUCGGCUCAACCGAGGAACUGCGUCCGAUACUGGCAGGCUGGAAUCCGGGAGAGGGAUGUGGAAUUCCAGGUGUAGCGGUGAAAUGCGUAGAUAUCUGGAGGAACACCGGUGGCGAAGGCGGCAUCCUGGACCGGUAUUGACGCUGAGGCGCGAAAGCCAGGGGAGCAAACGGG
rnacentral:rRNA from 1 species